UGUUUCCCCACAGCAAAAUGUCAUGAAAAGGGGUGUGAGUAAGGAAAAUGUUCUCUGUGGGACCCACCAGAAUACUCGCUCCUACUGGUGAGCCUGGUCUUUACGGUGGACAAAAUGACCAGUAGUCCUGCAAUACAGGCAACUCUUACUGUGAAUCCUGUAUAAUCAAAUCAAAUCAAAUGUAUUUAUAAAGCCCUUCGUACAUCAGCUGAUUUCUCAAAGUGCUGUACAGAAACCCAGCCUAAAACCCCAAACAGCAAGCAAUGCAGGUGUAGAAGCACCUAUAGCAAGUAUAGCCAUUCAGCUGGAGACAGACUAGCUCUGCCUAGUUGCAUUGGCUCGGGAAGUGGUGAAUAGGCAGCCUUUGGAGAUUCUCGGGGCACCUCGGGUUCUCUCAGCAACGGAGCCGUCGGAAACUUCCAUGAUGCCUCGGAAGCGAGGUGGAAUCCUUGGGUGGUGAGCGUCAGAGCGUUCCAUCCGAUACUCCGUGAGGAACAUGUCGAACAACACUUCUGGGUUCUCAUCUGCCAACCAGCUGCCAACCAGCUGCCAACCAGCUGCCAACCAGCUGCCAACCAGCUGGCAACAGACAAACAGAGAACACAGGUAUAAAUACACUGGAUAUAAUUGGGAAGAUGGGCGACACCUGGAGGGGUGUGGAGACAAACAUAAAGACAGUUGAAACAGAUCAAGGUGUGACAGAUAUAAUGUAUAUACAUAUUAUAGUCCUCUUAUAGUCCAUGACGACAUCAUGGAGCUGGUGGAUGUUAGAGACCUUGCACUCCUCCAUGACGACAUCACAGAGCUGGUGGAUGUUAGAGACCUUGCACUCCUCCACGACGACAUCACGGAGCUGGUGGAUGUUAGAGACCUUGCACUCCUCCACCUUCCGUUUGAGGAUGCCCCACAGAUGCUCAAUAGGGUUUAGGUCUGGAGACAUGCUUGGUAUACGCUGUAUAUGAUAUGGUAUAAGUUAUAUAUGGUAUAAGGUAAAAUUAUAUAAUAUAAGGCAUGAUAUGGUAUAAGUUAUAUAUGGUAUAAGGUAUAUAUGAUAUAAUAUAAGGCAUGAUAUGGUAUAAGUUAUAUAUGGUAUAAGGUAAAAUUAUAUAAUAUAAGGCAUGAUAUGGUAUAAGUUAUAUAUGGUAUAAGGUAUAUAUGAUAUAAUAUAAGGCAUGAUAUGGUAUAAGUUAUAUAUGGUAUAAGGUAUAUAUGAUAUAAUAUAAGGCAUGAUAUGGUAUAAGUUAUAUAUGGUAUAAGGUAUAUAUGAUAUAAUAUAAGGCAUGAUAUGGUAUAAAGUGCAAUAUCAUAUGAGCUAUUGUGGCAGACGGCAGGGAGAGGUGAGGAGAGCGGUUAUUGAGGGGAGAUACCUUGCAGCUCGCUAGCUCCACCCCCAAGCCUUAUAUGGACUUCCUGCCCCAAAGAGGCGAGGCUGUGAGUCGUUAAGCCAGGGAUUGCUUGGAGGUAAAGGAGGAAGCUGCCUGCACAAAGGGGCAGAGUAAGCAGAGAAAAAGUUGCUUUAUGAAGAGUGGGAGAAGAGAGAACCAUAUCAGUGAGAUUACCCGUUGUGACCUGGGCUGUCGGAUCACACCUCGGAUUGACUGAGGACCCGAGUUUUAGGAUUUACCCCUGGAGAACGGAUUGUGGACUGUGAAGUAAUUGGUGAAUUCCACGUGCAUCCCCAGUGUACAAAACUCCCUAAUAAACUCCCCGUUUGCAUUCAA